rnacentral:rRNA from 1 species
UACGUAGGUGGCAAGCGUUAUCCGGAUUUAUUGGGCGUAAAGGGAACGCAGGCGGUCUUUUAAGUCUGAUGUGAAAGCCUUCGGCUUAACCGGAGUAGUGCACUGGAAACUGGGAGACUUGAGUGCAGAAGAGGAGAGUGGAACUCCAUGUGUAGCGGUGAAAUGCGUAGAUAUAUGGAAGAACACCAGUGGCGAAAGCGGCUCUCUGGUCCGUAACUGACGCUGAGGUUCGAAAGCGUGGGGAGCAAACAGG